rnacentral:rRNA from 1 species
AUACGUAGAGGGCGAGCGUUGUCCGGAAUGAUUGGGCGUAAAGGGCGCGUAGGCGGCCCGGUAAGUCUGGAGUGAAAGUCCUGUUUUUAAGAUGGGAAUUGCUUUGGAUACUGUCGGGCUUGAGUGCAGGAGAGGUAAGUGGAAUUCCCAGGGUAGCGGUGAAAUGCGUAGAGAUUGGGAGGAACACCAGUGGCGAAGGCGACUUACUGGACUGUAACUGACGCUGAGGCGCGAAAGUGUGGGGAGCAAACAGGAUUAGAUACCCUGGUAGUCCACACUGUAAACGAUGAAUGCUAGGUGUAGGGGGUAUCGACCCCUUCUGUGCCGCAGUCAACACAAUAAGCAUUCCGCCUGGGGAGUACGGCCGCAAGGUUGAAACUCAAAGGAAUUGACGGGG